rnacentral:lncRNA from 1 species
GUAUUAUUCUCUCUACAUAGUAUACUCUUGUGCUCACUGUAAGAAAUUAUGAUUUUUAAUUUUACAUCGAUAUAAAAAAUUUACUUAAAAUAUUAAACAGUAUGGUAAAAUGGUACUUACUCAAUAAAAUUUUUAAUUUCUUCAUAAUUAUUUAGAACAUAAAAGUGUAUCUUGGAUAGCUCGUUCACGUCUAUAAAUUCAUAUCUCCUUGCACCAAU